AAGUUUGUCUUCAGCACAAAGCCUGUGAUACGAUCUGAAAGUCAAGCACCUGGAUAGGUUGCUUCUCCAGGCAAGCUACACAAAUUGUUUCCCGUUCAACAUAAUUGAAAUAAGUAAUACGAAAAACAAUUUGCACGGUUCAUCCGGAAUACAAAAUGUCAGUUGAACUUUUACAGCUGUACUAGAUACAAAGAUACUGAAACCUUGCAAGGACCACGUGGUGUGUUUUCUCGAAUCUUAGCAAUGGGUGUUAAAAGGGCAGCAGGACGAGCAAGAACGCAAAGGCAUCUCUUGGAUAAAGUCUAGGACUACGGAUAUAGCUAACGUCGGCGUAUAACUGGAGCUAUUUGGAUACUCAGUAAUUAUUUCUUUAAACCUACAUUACCACCACACGAGGCACCUCGCUGAGAUACAAGGCGAUUUUGGGAUAACAACGUUGGCCUUUGGGGCUUGUCUGGCGCGUCGUAGCUUGAGCUACUCUGCAAGAUUUUGGUAUCUUCUAUCUUUAUCUGAGACUGAUCAUAAUUCCAUCACCUAGGAUCUAGCUGGCGGCGUAGAUGAGGCCACGAGCUGGGAGCUUCGGUUGAUAUCCUGUGCUGACGAUUCUGCUACUGAUGCUGCCAUGCCCGCCAUUUUCGUUCGCCCCGCAACUGAAAUUUUACCAAGAUUCUUAGAUGACCCCAUAAUAUUUUGAUGCAGAUCGAAGCAGUUGGUCCUCACGACCAUAACGGAGCAUGUCAUUUGAAAAUCUGCAAGUAUACGGCCGAAUAAACGAAUUCAAGGACUCUGAUUGAUUUUAAGGACAUUCUGGCAAUUUUUUGUAGGAUCAGACUCGAUUUACCCCAAAUAAAACCAAAAUUAAGAAA